AGCAGCCGCGGUAAUUCCAGCUCCAAUAGCGUAUAUUAAAGUUGUUGCAGUUAAAAAGCUCGUAGUUGAAUUUCGGGAUUCUACCGUCGGUCGGGCUACCAAGUCUGUACUGGUGUGUAGAAUUCCUACCUUCUGGGGAACCAUCAUGUUAUUAAUUUAGCGUGGUGGGAAACCAGGACCUUUACCUUGAAAAAUUAGAGUGUUCAAAGCAGGCUUAUGUCUGAAUACAUUAGCAUGGAAUAAUAGAAUAGGACGGUGGUCCUGUUUUGUUGGUUUCUGAAUCACCGUAAUGAUUAAUAGGGAUAGUUGGGGGCAUUAGUAUUCAAUUGUCAGAGGUGAAAUUCUUGGAUUUAUUGAAGACUAACUUCUGCGAAAGCAUUUGCCAAGGAUGUUUUCAUUAAUCAAGAACGAAAGUUAGGGGAUCGAAGACGAUCAGAUACCGUCGUAGUCUUAACCAUAAACUAUGCCGACUAGGGAUCGGACGAUGUUAAAUUUUAU
rnacentral:rRNA from 1 species